UCAGUAGGCUGAUGAAUUGAAAUUCAGAGGACUAGUACUUGCUUUCUCAAUUCUUUUCAUUCGUUGACUAGAGCUCGUAUAGGAAACAACAUUUAAAUUUAACAUAGAAAUUCACUUGAUAAUAUAUAAUUUUUAACCAGCAGGCGGCAGUAAACAAUUUUUACGACCUUUGAGUUGAAUUCGGAAUUUUCAUCAUUCUCAUUUCAGCUCUUCAACUGCAAAACACAACAAAACUUUUAAGAAAUUUGUAACAAAUUCUUCAUUCUUCAAAAGACGUUAGUUUAAAAAAUUUCGAACUCUAAAAAAAAAUUAUUUGAUUUUCGAUUUAUUUCUUAACACUUUAGUUUCUAAAGAGCUCUCACAGACAAUAACAAAACCUAACAAGGAAAAUUUAAUUUCAUAAUGGCUGAAGCACCAGCUACUCCGGCAGAAGCAGCACCUGCACCAGCAACAACUACUGCUGGAGCGGAUAUGUUCGAGGGCAACGCUUGGCUAACUGCAGGCGCAGUUAUGAUGUACUCCACUUGGGCUAUGUGGGUCAAGCUGCGAAAUUUGAAAAUUACGUCGAAGACCGAAGACGAAUCGAUCGAGAACGAAUCGAUCGAAAGUAAAUCUAUAGAAAAUGAAUCUAUCGAGUUGCGCCUUGAGGGUCAAGCUACGAAAGAUGACGAGCAAUAUUUCGUGGCUGAAAAUGCACGAUCCCUAGGGCGUUGAGAAAGAAAUGGAUGAGGACACGGAUACAAAUUGUUAUUAGGCGUUGAUUUGCAUAUGGUUUAAAUUCAAUUGAUUCCAAAUUUUAAAAUUGUUUCUGCUUCGAUUUCAAGUGAAUUUGGUUCAAAUGCGAAAAUAAAAGGAAUGGCGCAGCAAAAAAUAAAAACGUAAUAUAAAAUCAGGACGAGGUGGGUCUUUCCCCCCUCUAAAUUAUGGCGUCUUAAACUAUACAUGGUCGCUGGGUUCAGGCGUCAAAAGCCGUUA